rnacentral:lncRNA from 1 species
GAGACGUAACUUUGUGCAAGCCGCAGGGAAAUGGGUGUGUCCAAGCUACUGCGAUGUAACAGGACGUAGUAUUUGCAAACGAACAGGAGAAAACGUCCAGAUCAAUUACACGAAAUCGCGUUUGAUAUAUAAAACAAACUUGUCAGCUAAGAACUUGGAAAACACGACAACGGAAAAUAAUAAGAUACCCACUGAGGAUGCUACAACUGUGGUGAACCACGUUUGGGUGAUAAAGUAAACCAAUAAUUUGUGUACUUACAAAAAGGUGGACUCAUCGUUAAUUCAUUAACAUUUUUCUGCAAGCACUGGAACUGAGUCCAAACUCAAAUAGGCCAAUGAUGUAAAUAGACAGUUGUAUUAUAGAAGAUGAGAAGCUGAAACUCUCAGGAAUACCUGUAAUACUACCUUUACGACAUAGUUCUCCAGUUGAACAACUCUUAAAGUUGCUGGGCAUAUAACUGAUGAACUGCAAGAGGAAAUUAUCAACAAAUGAAGCCUAUGGUCUAUGGGCAAGUAUUCCACAGGGGAUACUCAGGAUCCACUAUUUUAUGUGUAUUAAUAAUCUUGUAUUGCAUAUAUAUUUAUUGUAAAUGGUGUCGAAAUAGUGGUAAGAAACUGUGUCGAAUAGCAAGUAUAGACUGUUGGGUCAGGAGAACUAAGAAAACUGAAUCCCUUUCUCCAAAACCAGAUUUCACACAAUUAUGCCCAAAAUGAUACAAUGUAGUGGUAAAAUAUUGACAUGUUUUGUGAAAAUAUGUAUAACUGUUAAAAUAAAGAGUGAUAACUCAUAA